UCCACGCGCUUCACAAAUUUUCCUGUAGUACAGAACGUUCGCCUUGCGGAGUCUAGCGGAGGUCUUGAUAGUUAUUCGAACUGACACAUCUAAUGGACCAAAGUUUCAAAUGGUGAAAUCGCAUUUUAAUUGGAUCCAGUAGGGCAGUAAAGUUGUAUAGGUAAUAAUAUACUCAAACACUUUUCUUUAAGAUCUGCAAUUUACACCUGUAUAAGAACUCCUCUCUCCAUCUACAGCCAUGGGUGUGAAGGUGCUUCAGUGCUUCCCUUGGUACAGGCGCUGUAAAGAACGAUGCAAGGCAAAACAGUGCCCCCCACCAGCAGAUCCUAUCCCACCAGUCUCCAGAGAGGAAAGAAAGCCUCGUCUGUCAUCUACAGUGUCGGUGGGCAGCGAUGGCGAGGGCGCCAGCAGCCUGCGCGGAUCCCAGAUCUACUUCUCUACCAAGGCUCGUCUCUCCUUCAGACACCAGAUGGACAGCAAUUUCAACGCAGUGGACGCAACCUGUUGAGAGCAGCCUCACUCUCCGGGGUAGUGUUCGUUUUGGCAUCUAACAUGAGAAUGUGGACUGAAUCAGGGAGUGACUACCUGGGAUUGUCCAGCAGCCGUCAUCAUCCAUCAACGCUAGCUUCUCGCGUGUCUAUGGUAGCCAUUUCUCAAUCGAGCUAAACUGAACAGCGAACGGGGCAAAAGGUUCUGUGUGAAGAGCCGAGACCUCCUCUGCUCAGUUGUAUAUAUCUUUCUCAAUUUACCCUUCAGGAGUGACAGUGAAGUCAUGGAUGUUUCGCAGUAGAUUUGAGUUCUUCACUACAACAGAGAAAGACUGAAUGCAAUGCUAACAUAGCUAGUGGAAAAAUGUAAUGGAGAAAUGUUUACAACAUCAUUACCUACCAAGUGCAUUGUUUUUCCUUUUCUUUUUUUUGGGGGGGGGGGGCAUUUUUUUCUUUUCACCAAUUUAUUUUUCUACUUCGCUUUAAUGAAUGCACAUGUUGGAGUGUGGGUUACUGGAUUGAUUGGGUCUCAUAAAUGGCCACAUAUCAAUAAACUUUACAAUACCAUAGCCAGUAAAUACAACAAGCUUAAGCACUCCAAACUUUGAACACCAGCUUUCUUAAUCAUGACGGUAUCCUAACUUGCUAAGAAAGAUGCAGCAACUCGAUUUGAUACGUUUGGCUAAUAUAGUAUAUGUAUAUUUGUGCCUUUUUUUUUACUCAACAUCUUUUAAGUGAAAAUACAUGUGGUAUUGACACUGCUGUAGUGCCCUGACUGCUUGGAACGAGCCUAUUGUUUAUUAAUAUCUAAACAUCUUUGAAGCCUCUCUGAGCUUAGGGAACAUUUACCUUUCCUGAGUGGGGAACAUCAAAUAAAUGGCCUAAAAGGUGAACAGAGAUGCCUCACUUAAUAGUUUAAGGAUAAAACACAUUUUGUUUAUUUUUUUUAACAAAUGUAAGUCGUAGAUACUUUCUAACUGUGUUGCUUGAGCACUGUAACUACCUGGAACUUUUGUGGUAAUAAUGGAAUGUACAUAAUCACCCAUAACUGAAGUGUUUAUGAACUUGAAAAUAUCAAUGUUGUACUUUCAAUAACAUCCUGAUGUUCAACAAUUUGAAUGGAAAUUAAAGAUCCCAAAAUUG